rnacentral:rRNA from 1 species
GUACACGCUGUGACUAGCAUAUCAAUAAGCGGAGGAAAAGAAACUAACAAGGAUUCCCCUAGUAACGGCGAGUGAAGCGGGAAGAGCUCAAAUUUGAAAUCUUAAAGGGUUUCCCUUUACGAAUUGUAGUUUAAAGAAGUGUUUUCUGUUGAGGUUUUGGUAAAAGUUCUUUGGAAUAGGACAUCAUAGAGGGUGAGGAUCCCGUAUUUGACCUUUACUUUCAACUUUGUGAUACACUUUCAAAGAGUCGGAUUGUUUGGGAAUGCAGUCCAAAAUGGGUGGUAAAUUUCAUCUAAAGCUAAAUAUUGGCGAGAGACCGAUAGCGAACAAGUACCGUGAGGGAAAGAUGAAAAGAACUUUGAAAAGAGAGUUAAACAGUACGUGAAAUUGUCAAAAGGGAAGCGUUUGACACCAGUGUUGUUUUUCUGAAAAUCAAUUAAAGAACUGUUUAUGCUAAGCUGUUUAGACUUUAUCAGCUAACUGUUUAGUUUUGAGCUUUUCUUUAAUGCACUUUUCAGUUAACAAGUCAACAUCAAUUUCUUUUGCUGUAAAAAAGCUUGAGGAAGGUGGCUUGAGAUUCGUCUUAAGUGUUUAUAGCCUCUUGCCUAUGCAGUCGGAGAGAUUGAGGUCUGCAGCGUAGAUCCUUCGGGGCUAAAUGCAUUUGUGCUAAGUUAUAGCAUUUUAUAGACAACUUGUUGACUAUGAUUUGUCUUGUAGCUUACUCGCUUAUGUUAUUUUACCUACGCUUAGGAUGUUGAGCGCAUGUCUUCUCU